AUGCACCUGACAUGUGUAAACAAAUUAAAAUGUUGUGACAUUAAUUUGACGCACAAAUUCACACAACAUGAUACACCCCUCUAUUCAUGCUUGGUCCAGUACCCUUCAGUGGCCUCACGCACGCACACACUCGCCAAAGCAUAAAACAUUUKAUAUAAAUUGGCUUAAGACCCACUCCAAUGAAAAUGCUUUGUUUUUCCUUUGCAGUAUGAAACGAGCUGCCUCUCUGAACUAUUUGAACAAGAGCAGUGAUGACGACGACUCCUUUCAGAGUCCAGCAGGUGACAGGAGGCUAAGGCAGAGCAGGAACCUGAGUUCCAGUACUGUUGACCUCUACAGUGGAACUGGAAACUGAACCCACACACUCCCAACAGUUUUUCCAAAUAUGAUGUUUAAUUUUCACUUGUGCCAUUCUGAACCUAAAUUCUGUAGUUUCCAUUCCUACAUUUAAACACUGUUUAAUGUUAUUGCUGCUUUCUAGACAUUGUACAAAUUUUGUAGACUUUCUGUAGAAUUCAAAAAAUAUAUUGUAAAAAUGUG